GUAAGCUAAAAGAGAACAGCCACGACAGAGGAUACAGUGAAGAUUCAAAAAACGGUGGUGAAUAUUGAAAAGGCGUUGGAGGACACAUAAUAGAAUGCAAAGUCCACAAGGAGAGGGGCUUUGUGUCUUGUUUCACACUGUGUCCCCAGGCUUAGAAUAUUCUGGCAUCAGAAGGCACUCAGUAAACAUAGAGAGGAAGAAAGGAAGAAGAUGAAAUCAGGAGUACAGAUUAAAGUGUUAUCUUUGGAAGACAGGCAAGACAUCCUUUGGGACAGAAGGGAAGGAGAGAAAGCUGGGGAACAUGCAGAUAAUACAAGAGGUGCGGUUUGUGACUGAUGGCUGCUAUUUUCUCUGUGAGGUAGGAGGCUUGGCCAUCUGUUAAAAUGAGUGGGUGAGUCCAGCUAAGUAAUUUAAGAAGAAUGGUAAAGGUUUGUACCAGCUACUAGCAUGAAUAAUAUGGUUAUUUACUUGAAAUAAAAAUAUUAGAUGAUACUAACAAUGCAUGCAUUAUGAAAAUUGAUGCAUUCAUUUGAGGUUACUUACUGAUUUACAGAAAAUAAGCCACUGGGUGCAUUCAAUCAUUUAUAAGGUUAGGGGUUAAGUUUAAGACAUAAAUGUAAAUUUGUCUGCGUAUUAUCCAGAGUAAAGUCAAUAUCCUCUUUGGUACAUUGCACAAUCUCAGACACUGUGUUACUCUUUUGCUGUGAGCUUUUAAGGUCUACCUUAAUAUAUUCAUAACUGUAACAUUGUGUAAUUAUGAACUUCAUCAUUUGGAUAAAAUUAUGAACAAAAGCAAUUGUCCAGAAUUCUCUGAUUUAGUUGCCAUAUCUUAAAUAAUGCCUUUUGUGAAGAAAAUAUGUGAUUAAAUUAUAUGUAAAUACUUUAAUUUUAUAGACUAGAGGUGGCUCUGAAUAUGUAGAUUUCAUAAUGUUAAAUAUCACAAAGACUUCUGUGACCAUAAAAAAGCUGCUUAAUUAAGCACUUUAAUAUACUGUCAAGGCAUGUAUAUUAAGCAAAAGCAAAAGCUUAAUUACUCUUUUACAGACUGAAUCCAGACAACUUUGGACAUUCCUUCAUUUGAAGAAUUUUUACUGAACAAUUACAGACCAUUGAUUGAUACAGUGAAGAUCAGAAUGGCAUAGUUUUCCUGUCUUCAUGGAGAUGAAUGAAUGAACUGUAUUUUUUAUUAGCCUAAGCAUGAAUUCUUCCCAAAUUUCCUCCAUGAACCAUAGGAUCCUACCUCUUAACCAUUUUAUGAAAAUUCUAUGGUGAAUUGAGGUCCUCAAGUUGUCUGACAAUAUCUGAUUUUGCCACGGUCAUGUGGGAAAAGUAGGCAUGUGAGCAAGUCAUAGUUUUACUUGUUUGGAAGAUUCUUCUAAUUAUGUCAAGAUGAAAGGUUUUAUACUGUGUAGAAGGCAGUGUGAGAGAAGUGGACAGUAGAACUCCUAUUUGGUGGGCCAGUGGCUAUAUUUUAAAAUAUGAAGGAUACAUAUUUGACUGUUUAAGUACAAUGAUCUGCCAUGGAUCUAUACUUUUGGGCUGCUGUCUUUUAGGCUAAAGCAAUUAAAGGCAAUGUAAUGAACAUGGUUAUCUGUGGAUGCCCCUUUGAUUGCCAUUGUAUUAUGCUUUACACUGUGAUGGCUCUCUCUUUGAGGAGAGACGCUGUUCCUCCAGGGAGAUAAAAUAUAAAAUAUGAAUCUUACCCUUAAGCAUACACUUCUCCCCACUCUCAAUAUACAGUGGCUCUGGAAUUCAUGCUUCACUUGGGAGUUGAAAGUUUGCGUUUAUAAUUUUAUAUUCUUAUUACAGGCCAGGCUAUUGAGAUUAGAAAGUCUUUAUUUUUCAGUUGGAGUGUGAUGAGCCAUAUUCCCUAUUGUAAACAGCCAUAUUAACCAAGAUAAUUUAAUUUGGAAUGAUUGCUUUUUGCCUUUGAGCUGUAGAUCAAAAGGUUCCAUUAUAUGUACAAAUAAAGUAAAAAAAAAUUUUUUCUGUGAAUGUUACAAAAUUUUUUUAUUGUGGUAAAAAACACGUAAGAUCUUUCCUCUUAAAUUUUGGGUGUAUGGUACAGCAUUGUUAACUAUAAGCAUAAUGUUGUAGAGCAGAUCUGUGAAAAUUUUGUCUCUUGUAUGAUUAAAACUUUAUGCUCACGGAACAGCAAUUUUCCCAUUUGUCCCUCUUCCUAGCAUCUAGAAACCAUAAUUUUACUCUAUAUUUCCAUGAGUUUGACUAUUUUAGAUACUUCACAUAGUGGAAUCAAGUACUAUUUGUCUUUCUUGUACUGGCGUAUUUCACUUGGCAUAAUGUCCUCAAGGUAUAUCUAUGUAACAGAAUUUUCUUCUUUUUAUGGCUGAAUAAUAUUCUAUUGUAUAAAUAUAUAGUACAUUUUCUUUAUCCAUACAUAUUGCUGAUAAACUUUUAGGUUGUUUCUAAUUCUUUUCUUUUUUUGAGACGGAAUCUCGCUCUGUCACCCAGGCUGGAGUUCAGUGGCGUGAUCUCGGCUCACUGCAAGCUCGCCGUCCUGGGUUCACGCCAUUCUCCUGCCUCUGCCUCCGGAGUAGCUGGGAUUACAGGCACCUGCCUGCCACCGCGCUCGGCUAAUUUUUUUAUUUAUUUAUUUUUAGUAGAGAUGGUGUUUCACCAUGUUAGCCAGGAUGGUCUCAAUCUCCUGACCUCGUGAUCUGCCCGCCUCGGCCUCCCAAAAUGCUGGGAUUACAGGCAUGAGCCACCGCUCCCGACCAGUUGUUUCUAAUUCUUAUCUAUUGUGAAUAAUGCUGCAAUGAACACGGAAGGGCAAAUAUCUUCCAUGUCCUGAUUUCAGCUCUUUUGGAUAAAUGCCCAGAAGUGGGAUUGCUGGAUCAAAUGGUAGUUUUUAUUUUUAAUUUUUCUAUCAAUCUCUAUGCUGUUUUUUUUAUAGUGGCAACAUCAUUUUAUAUUCUUACCAGUAGUGCACACGGUUCAAAUUUUUCCACAUCCUUGCCAACACUUUAUUUUUUUAAUUUUUAAUUUUUUAUAAUGACCAUCAUAAUGAGUGUGAGAUGAUACCUCAGUGUGGUUUUGAUUUGCAUUUCUCUAAUGAUUAGUGAAGAAUGUCUUUUCAUAUGCCUGUCGGUCAUUUGUAUCUCUUCUUUGAAGAUAGUUAUUUUUAUUUUUAUUUUCUGCUAUUGAGUUUCUUGUAUAUUUUUAUAUUAACCCCCUGUCAGAUAUAUGGUUUACAAAUAUUUUCUCUCAUUCUGUAGGUUGCUUUUGUACUCGGUUGAUUAUUUCCUUCACUAUGCAGAAGAUUUUUAGUUUCUGGCUUUUUCAUUUGAUGUAAAUCCAUUUGUCUAUUUUUGCUUUUGUUACUUGUGCUUUUGGUGUCAUAUCCAAGAAUUAAUUGCCAAGACAAAUGUUAUGAAAAUUUUACCCUAUGUUGCCUUCUUGGAGUUUUAUAAAUUCAUGUCUUAUGUUUAAGUCUUUAAUCUAUUUUGAGUUGAUUUUUGUGCAUGAUAUAAAAUAAGGAUCCAAUUUUAUUCUUUUUGAAUGUGAAUAUCUAGUUUUUCCAGCACCAAUUUUUUGAUACUAUCCUUUUCCCAUUGUGUACUCUUGGCAUCCUGUCAAAGAUCAUUUGACUGUAUAUGUGUGGGUUUAUUUCUGGACUCUCAGUAUUGUUCCAUUAGCCUAUAUGUCUAUCUUUAUUCCAGUACCAUGGUCUUUUGAUGACUAUAGCUUUGUAAUAUGUUCUAAAGUUAAAAAGUUUGAGGCCUCCAGUUUUGCUCUUUUUGUCAAGAUUGUUUAGGCUACUUUGGGGUCAUUUGUACUUCUGUACAAUUUUUAGAAUUGUUUUGUCAAUUUCUGCAAAAAAUGUCACUAUGACUUUAAUAGGAAUUGCAUUAAAUGUGUAGACUUUGGGUGGUAUGGACAUUUGAACAAUGUCUUCUAAUCCAUGAACGUGGGAAGUCUUUCCAUUUAUUUGUGUCUUCUUUUCUUUUUUUAACUUUUUUGAGAUUAUGUUGUGCUCUUCAUUGCCAAAAAUAAACACUUUUAAAAACACAACUUCUGUUAAUCAAUAAAUAUCUCUUUCUUUCUGUGUUUUUUCCAGGCUGCUAAUUAACUGCUUUGUGUAUGUUCCUCCCUGGAGACAGUGUUAAGAGGUCAGGGCCAGAGCCUUCAUUUGGGAGAAAUGAAAUACUUCUGUGUAUGUGGGAGGGGCCCUUGCUCCUGCUGGCCACUGCCACCACUACCACCACCACCAUCACCAAACUAAAUAAUCAGGUAUUGGUGGUGAAGGGGUUUGUAACUGCUGGGUAGAGAGUGAAAUAUUGUAUCUACAUAGGGGAGAGGGCACAGCCAUGGCCUGAUGCUCUUCCCAGAAGGUUACUUCUCA
rnacentral:lncRNA from 1 species